CCUGGACCUGAUCCCCUCGUUAGUGUGUCUGGUCUUUGUUCUCCCUCAUGUCUUUGUCAGUUCGUUCUGUCUUCCCCAGUGAUGCCACCCAGUGUCUUCUCACCAAUGUCUCCUUGUUGACAGUGGACAUCUCUAUGGUCAAUAUCUCCAAAACUCAGCAAAUCACACCGAAACAGUCUAGAGAGAUAAAUAACACGACCGAGCUGAACACAGAUCCGGAGUGGGUGACGAAUCGGCACCUGCAGCAACAAGAGGCCUGAUUAUGGAAACGUCUUACAGUGGUCGGGGUUGGACAAAAAGAGAGAGACAGAGCAAGCUGACUUUGUAAGCGGUGAAGGUCCAGCUGACUGUUGAAGGAGCAAAUCCCGAUGGAGGAUUUCCUGCUUGAGGAGUCUCAACACAACACUGCACGGCAGACUUUGAACCAAGUCAUGAAAAUUGAGAGUCACAUGGCAGCCUUUUGUACUUUGUACUGAGACGCAUCGCUGUGAUUCUGUAAAGCCUUAUGGACUGAAAACAUAACAAUGCUGUUCCAGCGGAUGUUCUGCUGCUGCAGGAGAAGAUGCUAGAUCAGCUGAUUGGCCAAUUUUCUCUGAAAAGCCAACAUAUGCCGCUAUGUUGUCGGCUAGUGCCUCAGUAGGUUGUACGGUAAGUUAUUUACUGACACUUGCUUAAUGGACACUUCGUAUUUUGAUAUAUUUUAUACUCUGUUUAGUAUCAAAGGCAGGAGGCAUCUUUCUUUAAUGCCUGCAGAAAGUAGGGAAGAGACCACUGAAACUUUCAUUACAUGCACCAACUAAGCUUGCCUUUUGAUCUUACACAUACAUGAUUUAGAUGUCUUGGUAAGCCUCCACAGUUCUAUGGAUCAGCAAUAGUUCCUGAGUUCAGACAUGCUGGACAUGGCAGUCACCACAGGAAGAGGACUAGAAUAGUUGCUCAAGUAAAAGUAUUGUUCCUGUGAGGAAAUUUGAGUUCAAGUAAAAACGCUUAAAGCACCGAUACAGGCAAUGUUAUGGAUAAACCAUUCCCCAACCUAAAAUAUUUAACUUCAUAAUUAUUAUUUUUUUCCACAACCAUCUGGUGACCCCUGGAAAUUAACUUGCAAACCUCUUGGAGGUCACGACCCCAAGGUUGAGAGCUCAAGCACUCAGAUAAAGGUUAUAAGUAGGCCAAUUAAAAUCUACUCUGGGCAAAUGUCACUGCACUACAUUUUAAAAGGAAGAACGAGGAUUAUUUUUUUUCUUGUAUGAAGCAGAUGAUAGACCUCUUGAAUUGUAGAUGACAUUUAGGCUUCCAAGUAAACACACAUCACACCACAGAGCUUUAACGUCCAAUAACAUAUUACGUUUCUAUUCCCAGCACACAGUGUAGCCUCACUAGAGGCCAGAUCAACCAGAGAAGAAGCCAAGCUAACAAACAAAAAAAGAGCGAUGGGCGCUGCAGCACAUGCAACAAGCAUCUGCUAAAUUAAAUUACCUCUUGUUAUAGAAUUAACAGCAGAAUAAAUCAUCACAGAGGCAGACAACACAACACGUACGACGAGAGCUGCAGAGUUCUCGCACGCAUGCAAACGAUGCUGUGUCGCCAAGCGGAGUUGACGUGCCACUCACAGAGAGAGUUGAAACCAGUGCUGAGUUUGUCAAUCAGAGAUUUUCCCCCCAAGGCCCUUUUGUGAACAGAGAUUUCCCAAGGAUCUUGGUCACAGGUCAUCAGGAGCUUCUGGGUGCACCUGUGAAGUUCUCCCUCAGGUGACUGCAAUCAGUCAGCUGGGAGGCUGAAUGAGAGGGUUCGGUCCCCCCUGCUCAGCUGGUUGCGAGUCUCCGGGGAAGCGACACCAUCAGUUGGCGUCCUGUGUUUUCUGUUUGAGUGAAAGUCUGAGUUGAGUGUGUUUUAAGAUUGGCCAAUUUCCAUAAAAUUUGUUUAGCCCCCCUUUCCUGUGACUCCCACUUCACCUUUGGUUUUGGGUCCAUUCUUUGGUUCCUCUAUCAUUUAUCAUCACUGCCACCUUUUAGACACCGAGGGACCAAUUAGCUAUGACCUUUUUUGUGGAUUGUGCAGCGUUUUGUUUCCCAACCUGUGUCCUUCAGGUCUUUUAAGUACUUGUACACAAAAGCAGCUUCAUUACAGUAAUUAUAAUUAAUGUAAUUAGUAAGUUACAACCUGUGAUGGUACUCAAAUAAUGUACUGAAGGGCAUUUUUGGUGGGACACCAAUAUAAUUAUAUCCACUCUCUGCUACUUUAUACUUCCUCCUAAAUUUUAGGGGGCAGAUAUUGUAGUUUUACUCCACUACAUCUGUUUGAUAGAUGAGGUUACUAGUUAAUUCUGAUAAUCAGAGUAUUGGAUUCACUCAUUUUCUGGGCAUGAUCAUCAGUCAACCCUUACAAAUAAAUCUAAAUAUAUGUAUAAUUUAUUCUGCUUGUAUUUUUGAUACAUUUAAUAUCCCAUUCUUAGGUUUGGAUACUUUUUACAACACUGGUUCAACAAUUAUUGGACUUCUAAAUUUGAGUUGCCAAUAUAGUGCAGGUAGAAUGAAACAGGCGGUAGUAUUUAUCUAUUGGUAGUUGUAGUUUUGAGGGGGAAAAAAAGCCAUGCGACGUACUGCAUGUGUAGAGAAAUCUCUUUGUCACAUCACCACAGGAAGUAUUCUCUGGACCAUACAAAGGUGUCCAUCUUAAGCAAAGACAAUAUUUAACAAAAAAGUCAUGUUAAUAAAACAACGUUGGUUCUGUCAA